rnacentral:rRNA from 1 species
UAGAGUAACAGUUUCAAAUGCAGUUCUAUAGUUAAGCCAUAGGAUUUCACAUCUGACUUGCUACCCCGCCUACGCGCUCUUUACGCCCAGUGAUUCCGAGUAACGCUUGCACCCUCCGUAUUACCGCGGCUGCUGGCACGGAGUUAGCCGGUGCUUAUUCCUAAGAUACCGUCAUAAUCUUCUCUUAGAAAAGGAGUUUACAAUCCUAAAACCUUCAUCCUCCACGCGGCGUUGCUGCUUCAGGCUUUCGCCCAUUGAGCAAUAUUCCCUACUGCUGCCUCCCGUAGGAGUCUGGACCGUGUCUCAGUUCCAGUGUGUCCGAUCACCCUCUCAGGCCGGAUACCCGUC